UUUUGAUCUAAAAACAAAACGAUUGCAAGUUGAAAAGAUUUAUUGUGUGAUUUAUUUAUUUAUUACAAGGAGACAAAAUUACAUACACAUUUUAGGCUUCUCAGCAGCUGGUGGUGUGCACAGUCAGCAUAACUACUCAUUUGAGGUACUUAGACUAGUGUCAUAUUCUACACAUCUAAAGUGGAACCAUCACAGAGAUCGCAUAAAAUCAUGUUGUCGUAUUCUUCUGGCAGUUUACAUUCACAUACCAUAUUAUAAAAACAAUCGCUUGCAAAUUUUAUCAAUACGAGUGUUAACAAUAGCCGCCACAGUAAUCACUUGCUAACAAUAAACUAUAGGAUUAGUAAAAAAUCCAUGGAAUGUGUUGGGAAGCGUAUUGACUAUUGUCCGUUGAAUCGUCAACUUUCCGUGUCAGUGAUAUAAUCUUAAUUCUUCACUUCCGCAAAGAAAAUUGCAUUAUAUAAUAUGUGGUGUGGUUUAUUCAAAUAAUUUCAUGAUACUUUGAUUUUAUUAGUGCAUGCCUUAAACAUUUGAGAAUGUAACUCUGCAAAACUAAAAGCUUUCUUGUCUUUUUUGAAACGUAUAUUAUUGGAUUAUUGCCUAUUGGCAAGUUCUACCCUUCGCUUCUGAGAUUUAUAAACUAUAUUGAAAUAAUGCAAGUAAAAAAUAGUGACAAACCAUACAUUUUCCGAUAACGACAAAACGUGGAUGCAAAACAAUACCAA